rnacentral:rRNA from 1 species
CCGGAUAAUAUUUUGAACCGCAUGGUUCAAAAGUGAAAGACGGUCUUGCUGUCACUUAUAGAUGGAUCCGCGCUGCAUUAGCUAGUUGGUAAGGUAACGGCUUACCAAGGCAACGAUGCAUAGCCGACCUGAGAGGGUGAUCGGCCACACUGGAACUGAGACACGGUCCAGACUCCUACGGGAGGCAGCAGUAGGGAAUCUUCCGCAAUGGGCGAAAGCCUGACGGAGCAACGCCGCGUGAGUGAUGAAGGUCUUCGGAUCGUAAAACUCUGUUAUUAGGGAAGAACAUAUGUGUAAGUAACUGUGCACAUCUUGA